UUUUUGUAAGUUCGCAGGAUUAAACCGCCUUUCCCAUCAAUUUGAAGGAAUCUUCAGCUCACGACGCCACCGUCUAGCUUCAAAGUCCAGCGAGAAUGGCGGUUAGACAAAGCCGCAAGCAAAUUACACAACCAGAGAUAAAUGAAGAAGUUGAAUCUUCAUCUGAAAAAGGCAAAAGUUUCAUUGCACCCAGAAUCCUUCAACAGCGAGAAUUUCAGGGUGCUUUGACUGUGCAAAGAAGUAAUGGGCUGGGAAAUUCUGGCCAUUCACACGUGCAUAAUGGUGGCAACAGUAGUGCCACAGACAUUCAUGAAUCAGAAAGUCUUUCUGAAAUUGAUGAUGCUGAGGUCAUUGGAUAUCUUAACACCAAGCAUGAGAUGCGUUAUAAGAGGAUCUUGUGGGAAGCAAUGGAUAGAGGAUUUUCAAAGGCUAAGAAACCAAAACUGAAGGCAGAACUCAAAAGAAGUACUUCUGUUGAUAAAGCUGCAAAAGCAACUCCUAAAAUAGAGAAAAAGAGGCCGAGUUCCAGAAUUAACUAUGAUGCUCUUAGUAAGCUAGCUGAUGAACUGAAGUAGAAUUGGACCAAUCCUAGCAUCAUUUGUGGCAGAUGUAUAUCUGUGGAUGCAUGUGCAAACUUAUCAGUUUGACAUUACAACAGGAAUGAGUUGAGCAAAGUGGAGUAAACGAAAAGUUAGCAUUGACUGCCAUUUGCAUCAUUAAGUAAUUUUAAACUGAUUCUUGUUUCUUUUCCAAAUUGGUGGUAUCAUUGGGAAAACUCAGUGUGGAAAAGGUCUGUUCGGCAGCAUGAAUGGCCCAUAUAAUAAACAUGAAAGCAGCAUAACAGGAACCUCAACGAAGCAUGAUUAGAAAAAUUUUAAUUCUCAUGAUGUUUUUGUCUACUUUACACUAGAUUUCAGCAUUGUGUUUGUUUCGGUUUAAUUAGCUUCCUGUGUUCGCUUGAUGUCACUGCAGAAUCAAGGUCUUGAUAGCAAUGGUGGUCAGUAAGGUGCAGUCGAUACUUACCUCUUCUCUACCGAAAUGAACGUGCCUAAGAACUCUAGGUAAAUAGUGUUGCAGUUGCUGCAUAUGGCAUAAUUAUUAGAUGCCAAAAUACUGGUGACAACUUGGUGAGAUGAUAAGAAAGUUGAAGAUCAUCGUGCUGAAGAUCGUAAACUUUCUGAGCAGUCUCCCUGACAAAUCAUCCGUGAAAGGUCCAGCAUAGAGGAUGAGCCUCUCAAAACUAUAAUGAGCUAAAUUUGAUGAGCCUCCAACAAUAAGAUAGGAAGCUUUUGUCUUGUCUGACUUUAGAGUGAAAAACUGGCUUUGUAAUUUAAUAUUCUCGUUUUAAGAAAAAAUUUCUAUCUUUUCUGCUUUU